rnacentral:rRNA from 1 species
UGGGGAAUAUUGGGCAAUGGGCGAAAGCCUGACCCAGCAACGCCGCGUGAAGGAAGAAGGUUUUCGGAUCGUAAACUUCUAUCCUUGGUGAAGAUAAUGACGGUAGCCAAGAAGGAAGCCCCGGCUAACUACGUGCCAGCAGCCGCGGUAAUACGUAGGGGGCAAGCGUUGUCCGGAAUGAUUGGGCGUAAAGGGCGCGUAGGCGGCCUGGUAAGUCUGGAGUGAAAGUCCUGCUUUUAAGGUGGGAAUUGCUUUGGAUACUGUCGGGCUUGAGUGCAGGAGAGGUAAGUGGAAUUCCCGGUGUAGCGGUGAAAUGCGUAGAGAUCGGGAGGAACACCAGUGGCGAAGGCGACUUACUGGACUGUAACUGACGCUGAGGCGCGAAAGUGUGGGGAGCAAACAGG